rnacentral:rRNA from 1 species
UACGUAGGGUGCAAGCGUUGUCCGGAAUUAUUGGGCGUAAAGAGCUCGUAGGCGGUUUGUCGCGUCGAAUGUGAAAACCCGGGGCUCAACCCCGGGCCUGCAUUCGAUACGGGCAGACUAGAGUUCGGUAGGGGAGUCUGGAACUCCUGGUGUAGCGGUGAAAUGCGCAGAUAUCAGGAGGAACACCGAUGGCGAAGGCAGGUCUCUGGGCCAUAACUGACGCUGAGAAGCGAAAGCAUGGGGAGCGAACAGG